ensembl:lncRNA
AUGUAGAAACAGCAUUCUUCUUGGGGAAACGGGCAAAGACCAUCUUCUUUAGCCGUAAGGACAGCCAUCGGUUCUGAAGCACCAUUUGCUUUUAGAUGCACAUAUGAAGAAGCUGUAAAUACGCAGAGCAGAAUCUUAACAUCACCUGCCAUGGCUUCUCCCCUCUCUCCGUCUGUCUCCUCGCCAGCAGUCUUUAAAACAACUAGGUCUGGUGAAUUUAAGGAGUUGGUAGACCGAGGUCAGAGUCUGAAGCAGAAGGUGAAAUGACAGAGCUGGGGACCGAACCCAGGGCCUUGUGCUUGUUAGGCAAGUGCUCUACCACUGAGCUAAAUCCCCAACCCCUGUCUUUUUCUUUUUAACCCUCACUCCCUCCCUGGAGAACCGGUUGACUUAGUUGGCUUUGUCAAGCAAGCAUGUGAAAGGACACAGGACACAUGAUGAAGAAUUCUUGUCUAAUGACGUGAAUGUAUUAGUUGACCUUACAUUUGCGUAUUGAGCUCCAUUUGUUGGGACUCCAUAGAGAGAAAUGCAUCCAAAAACUUCUGGUGGUGUGCUGCAGUUUCUUGCCACUUCUGGGGACUCUGACUGAUUGGCAGAGUGAUGUCAGAUGAACACACAUGCUGAGGCAAGACCUUGGAGGACAGGUGAUGUUUGGAAAGAGUACAAAAGGACUCGAUGGACAGUGAUGGGGGUUGAGCUUGGCUUGCAACAGAGCUGGCUGUACAACACUUGUGGGGAGAUAAGCACAGCUGAGAACUUCUGGUCCCUCCUGAUGACUCGUGCUGAGGCUGAGGCCUGGCUGCCUGUGCUAGGUCAUGCCAUUGCUGCUAGUUCCUGUUUGCUAUCCUGACUACCGAACUGGAUUUCAGUGUAUCUGAAGUGUUCGCAAGAGGAUCAAGCUGCCACUGCUAACCUGUGAACUGAACCGUUCAUUUCCAGACAACACACGACUUUGGGGGUUUCUCCAAAGAACAGC